UACUCGAGUGGCGAACGGGUGAGUAACACGUGGGUGAUCUGCCUUGCACUCUGGGAUAAGCUUGGGAAACUGGGUCUAAUACCGGAUAGGAACCGUCUUUAGUGUGGUGGUUGGAAAAUUUUUUCGGUGCAAGAUGAGCUCGCGGCCUAUCAGCUUGUUGGUGGGGUAAUGGCCUACCAAGGCGUCGACGGGUAGCCGGCCUGAGAGGGUGUACGGCCACAUUGGGACUGAGAUACGGCCCAG
rnacentral:rRNA from 1 species